GAUGAACGCUGGCGGCGUGCCUAAUACAUGCAAGUCGAGCGAACGGACGAGAAGCUUGCUUCUCUGAUGUUAGCGGCGGACGGGUGAGUAACACGUGGAUAACCCACCUAUAAGACUGGGAUAACUUCGGGAAACCGUAGCUAAUACCGGAUAAUAUUUUGAACCGCAUGGUUCAAAAGUGAAAGACGGUCUUGCUGUCACUUAUAGAUGGAUCCGCGCUGCAUUAGCUAGUUGGUAAGGUAACGGCUUACCAAGGCAACGAUGCAUAGCCGACCUGAGAGGGUGAUCGGCCACACUGGAACUGAGACACGGUCCAGACUCCUACGGGAGGCAGCAGUAGGGAAUCUUCCGCAAUGGGCGAAAGCCUGACGGAGCAACGCCGCGUGAGUGAUGAAGGUCUUCGGAUCGUAAAACUCUGUUAUUAGGGAAGAACAUAUGUGUAAGUAACUGUGCACAUCUUGACGGUACCUAAUCAGAAAGCCACGGCUAACUACGUG
rnacentral:rRNA from 1 species